GACGUAGGGCGCGAGCGUUGUCCGGAUUUAUUGGGCGUAAAGAGCUCGUAGGCGGCUCGUUGCGUCAGCUGUGAAAACCCGCAGCUCAACUGUGGGCUUGCAGCUGAUACGGGCAGGCUAGAGUUCGGUAGGGGAGACUGGAAUUCCUGGUGUAGCGGUGAAAUGCGCAGAUAUCAGGAGGAACACCAGUGGCGAAGGCGGUGCUCUGGGCCGGAACUGACGCUGAGGAGCGAAAGCGUGGGGAGCAAACAGG
rnacentral:rRNA from 1 species